rnacentral:rRNA from 1 species
GACGAACGCUGGCGGCGUGCUUAACACAUGCAAGUCGAACGGAAAGGCCCUGCUUGCAGGGUACUCGAGUGGCGAACGGGUGAGUAACACGUGGGUGAUCUGCCCUGCACUUCGGGAUAAGCCUGGGAAACUGGGUCUAAUACCGGAUAGGAGCCAUUUUUAGUGUGAUGGUUGGAAAGUUUUUUCGGUGUAGGAUGAGCUCGCGGCCUAUCAGCUUGUUGGUGGGGUAAUGGCCUACCAAGGCGGCGACGGGUAGCCGGCCUGAGAGGGUGGACGGCCACAUUGGGACUGAGAUACGGCCCAGACUCCUACGGGAGGCAGCAGUGGGGAAUAUUGCACAAUGGGCGCAAGCCUGAUGCAGCGACGCCGCGUGGGGGAUGACGGCCUUCGGGUUGUAAACUCCUUUCGCUAGGGACGAAGCUUUUUGUAACGGUACCUAGAUAAGAAGCACCGGCUAACUACGU